UACGUAGGGUGCGAGCGUUGUCCGGAAUUACUGGGCGUAAAGAGCUCGUAGGUGGUUUGUCGCGUUGUUCGUGAAAACUCACAGCUUAACUGUGGGCGUGCGGGCGAUACGGGCAGACUGGAGUACUGCAGGGGCAACUGGAAUUCUCGGUGUAGCGGUGAAAUGCGUAGAUAUCGAGAGGAACACCUGCGGCGAAGGCGGGUUGCUGGGCUGACACUGACGCUGACAGCGCGAAAGCUAGGGGAGCGAACGGG
rnacentral:rRNA from 1 species